GCCCGCCUAGCUCAAUCGGAUAGAGCGUCAGACUUUUACGGAGGGCGAUCUGAAGGCUGCGAGUUCGACCCUCGCGGUGGGCU
rfam:Pleurotus ostreatus PC15 unplaced genomic scaffold scaffold_03, whole genome shotgun sequence.